GGCAUCAUACUGACACUGAGGCUCGAAAGCGUGGGUAGCAAACAGGAUUAGAUACCCUGGUAGUCCACGCCGUAAACGAUGUCUACUAGUCGUUGGGUCCCUUGAGGACUUAGUGACGCAGCUAACGCAAUAAGUAGACCGCCUGGGGAGUACGGCCGCAAGGUUAAAACUCAAAUGAAUUGACGGGGGCCCGCACNAGCGGUGGAGCAUGUGGUUUAAUUCGAUGCAACGCGAAGAACCUUACCUGGUCUUGACAUACACAGAAUCUUGUAGAGAUACGAGAGUGCCUUCGGGAAUUGUGAUACAGGUGCUGCAUGGCUGUCGUCAGCUCGUGUCGUGAGAUGUUGGGUUAAGUCCCGCAACGAGCGCAACCCUUGUCCUUAGUUACCAGCGGGUUAAGCCGGGAACUCUAAGGAUACUGCCAGUGACAAACUGGAGGAAGGCGGGGACGACGUCAAGUCAUCAUGGCCCUUACGACCAGGGCUACACACGUGCUACAAUGGUAGGUACAGAGGGCAGCUACACAGCGAUGUGAUGCGAAUCUCAAAAAGCCUAUCGUAGUCCAGAUUGGAGUCUGCAACUCGACUCCAUGAAGUAGGAAUCGCUAGUAAUCGCGGAUCAGAAUGCCGCGGUGAAUACGUUCCCGGGCCUUGUACACACCGCCCGUCACACCAUGGGAGUUGAUUGCACCAGAAGUGGUUAGCCGA
rnacentral:rRNA from 1 species